rnacentral:rRNA from 1 species
UACGUAGGUGGCAAGCGUUGUCCGGAUUUAUUGGGUUUAAAGGGUGCGUAGGCGGCUUUGUAAGUCAGUGGUGAAAUAUGGCAGCUCAACUGUCAGGGUGCCAUUGAUACUGCGGAGCUUGAGUACAGAUGAGGUAGGCGGAAUUGACGGUGUAGCGGUGAAAUGCUUAGAUAUCGUCAAGAACACCGAUAGCGAAGGCAGCUUACUAGGCUGUAACUGACGCUGAGGCACGAAAGCGUGGGGAUCAAACAGG